rnacentral:lncRNA from 1 species
CCUGACACAAGAAAUGGAAAUGAAUUUUUAAUAUUCCUCUUUCCAAAGGAAGACUUUGGAUUUUAGAAAAAUUAAAUAUUUAUUUCAUUAUGUAUGACUUCAUAAGCCCAUAAUUUAUACCGGAUAGAUUUAUUGGCUUUAUUUCUCCGUGAUAAUUAUAUAGGCCUUGUUGAUCUAAUGGGCUUGUCAUUUUUAGUGAUGUAUCCAUCUGCCCAAAGAUAAGCAUUAUUUGCCUAUUAUGUAGUUAGAAAUAGAAUAGAAUGCACACAAAAAUUGCACUGAGCUUAAACACUAAAAUGAAGGGGAUUUUCCUUCUCCGAAGUGCAGAUUUAACACAACAAAUUAGUUUGGAACUACUUUAGUUUCCUAAGCAAAAUCAAUCCUCUGAUAUUUAUCAGGCUGGCAGUGUUGCAGUCCUCUAUUUACUUAAAAUACUGAACAUUUGAACUGCUGAUGUACAGCAACGACACCAGCAGAUUACAAGGGGUUUGCAAGCAUUGGGCAGUGUGUAGCAGGAGGAAGGCAGAACUCACUGCUGCUGCCUGGGUGGUCGUUCUGCCCAAAUCUCAGAGUAUCACAUUUGGCACAAACUGGAAGCGGGCUCAGAAAGGCCUAAAACAACCACAAGUAAGAGAGGCUUUCCUUAUGUCCACAAUAUCCUUCAGCUUCAGAAACUCAUGGAUUACUUUACUGCUGGUAAUACAGUACCAAAGCCUUCGCAGCCAUGGCAUCGCUGUAAUGUAAGUCAAGUGUUUCAGUCUUUUUGUCUGGUCGGCCUCAAAAGUCAUUUAUUUCCCUGAUCUUUCUGUCAGGAUAUUCCUUCCCAGAACCACACAGCUCCUGCUCUGCUGUGCAGAAGUGCACCUCAGUCUCCAUACCUAACAAAUCGAAGGCUCUUCUUGUUUCACAGAGCAUCAGUCGACGUCCUGCCCUCGCUCUCUAAAUUUCUCCCAAGCCUUGCAAGCACCAGAAGUACGAGCGCCAGAUCCUCUCAUCUCCUUCCCUCCCUUGACCUCACCUCUGUGUCCCACACCUCUCCAGGCAGCCCAUGCACGCUCCUGAGGAAGAAUGUGGCCAAUAUACUGCCAAGUGCCGCUAAAUGGAAGGAGGCAGAGGAUAACAGAAAAUCAAAAAGACUGGAGGAAGAUUUCUUCCUGAUGCUGUAAUCUCAUGCUGCUGUUUAUCUCCACCUGUGACUUUGCUUAUUCCUUCGUCCCUCUAUAAAUCACUGCAGCUGGUGGUGCAUUCACCCAACCUUUCUGCCAGGAUGGUGUCAAAACUCUUCCCAUCAGACACCUGAACUGGUCAAUUCCUACUGCUAAACACCACUAUUUUGAAGAAGGAAAACUGAAGUGAAAGCAAAUUUCAAAGGUACUCAAGACUUGUGUGAUACGGCGCUGAGCUCUGUGCUCACACAAAGAGCUGUUGGUUUUAGGCAUGCUAAAUGAAACACAUUUUACAUCUGCAGCAGAGUAAGAAAAAGUCUCGUUUCUUUUGCCUGAACAAAAGGCAAAGCAUAUAGCAGCUGCUGUUCUUGUAGUAAAGAUUUCAAAACUGAAUGGCAGUGCUCUCUCACUCCUAUUCAUUUGACAUUCAGCUUUCAGAUUGUGAUGUUCACUGUCAUAUUUAUCACUUAACUAUGAUGGGCUGUUUGGGGUGACAGUUAUGGAUGGAAGCAGCCACAGUUCUCACCACCUUUCCAGAUCCAUUUUAAGUGGUUUCUGCUCCAUCAUCACUAAGAGCUGAUGCUGCUAUUCCCAUAGUUGGGAGAUUAGAAGCAAUGUAUGAAUUCAGGCCUUUCUCCUUCCUGUGGUUGCCCUAUGGUCAGGCAGAGGAGACUUUCCCACUCUUUCAACCACUGCUGGUGAAAUGAGCCCCACAGUACGUGAUCGAGAGAACUGACUUCGAGCUUUGAUAGUUAUAAAUAGUAGGCACUGUAAUUGUCUAGCAGUUCUCCUGCAAAGAAGAGGUAAUUGUGUGGAUGAAUAAAAUAUUGGCAUUAAAAAAACAUUUUAAGCUUAAUCUCAAAGUAGCUGAUGAAGUAUUUCUAUGGCAGACCUGUCAGCUCACGUGCUCUCAGUGGUAGCUUCUCAUGCUUGGUUGGCUCUUUUGUAAGAAGAGAAAAAGAAUUAAAAAGAAAAAAACAAAAAUGAAACACACCAGAAACACAUGCACAGUACAGAAUGCACACACAACGAAACAGCAAAAUAAUCCUGAAAAUCAAAUGUGUGCAAUUGGAGAAGGCCUUCUGUACUUCUCCAUGUUACCCCUCAUGGGGAAGUUCCCAGCCCUGCCACUCAGGCAGACCCAGUGGAGGAGCUUUUUUCUCUGGGUGCCCAUCCCCAGCCUCACUGUACCUGACAACUUCAUGGUUCAGCCUGUUUCUUCUCCAGGGGGCAGAGCCAUGCUGCCUUCCCCUUCUGCAGGGACGAAGCUUGGGCUUCCAUUACACUGUGCUCUUGGAGAGACCGUCAGCUCAAACUGAUCUACAGCCUACCUGUGGGAUAGCCUUCAGCUUCCAGGCAGAGCAAAGCAGCCAGAGCACACCUGGGAGGGGGAGGAUCCUGAAAACUGCUGCUUAUGGGGUGGCAUCAGAUUACGACCAGUUCCUAGGAUUUGGCUCAGAGAUACAGAGGAAAGCAGGGAGGUGGGCUGGCUCCUCCAUCCUGGACCAAAAGUUUGAUGCAGGGAUUGGGUCUCCUCCCACUGCAUCAAUGCAUAGGAUGAGGGGAGGAGGAAGGAAAAGUGACUGGCAUUUUGAGAUCACUGAUAACCUUCAUGAGGCAUUAGUUUUAUUUAAUACAGAGUGUCAUGUUGGGUCCAGUAUUUCAGGGACCGAUUUAAGAUUUAACAGCAAUUCACAACACUAACAUCAGCCAAAGCAUUUCUGUUUGCAUUUUAGUUCUCCAGCAGAAGGAUGACAGCACUGAAGAUUAAAGCUUUUUUUUUUACCCCUCCUUAAGAUCUCAGCAAAGUGCAGAUUUGAAACACAGAAAGAGGUUGACCUUCGUAUUAACCUGAAUCUCUUUUCCUGUUUCUUCUUGAAUAUAUUUUAUUCUCUUUAUGCACAGUGGGGCUCUUUUUUUCUUGUGUGAGGCUGUUGAAUGAAAUGCCAGAAAGAUGGAGUGUGCACUUUUACAUCAAAGAAAUGAUGAGACCAUAAAAACUCAUUUCCCUUGUGACUUCUUAAAUUGUUGCUAAGGAAUUGAAUGAGUCUGUUUGAAACAAUGUGUCCCUUUAAAUUCUGUUUUCUUAUUUGUCUUAAAACACAAAGCCACAGUUUCUUGUAGACCCUGAUUCAAAGGCCACUCACUGAAGUCAAUAAAGGUUUCUUAGUCACUGUGUUUAGAUGUAGGUCAGAUUUUUCAAGUAUUCCACUAUGUAGAACCCAGGCAGACUGAUUUCAAAAGUUCUGGCUAUUCACAGAAAGAAAGUAAAAGGUCUAGUUUGUUUUUGUUCAUUCAGGUGGUUAAAAACGUCCCCUUCAAAUGGGCCAGAAUUGAGUCAACUGUCAACUGCUGAGCAGAACAAAUCUGACAGGGGCAAGUAAAAUGAAGCAGUAGUUAAAUUCAGAAAUCCAAAGAAGUAAAAAUGUUGAUUUACUUUAGUUUUUCUCAUGCACAGUGGUGACGUGCAGUAGAAGCACAAACAAAGCCCACGGUUCAGACUGUUGGAGGGAAACCCUGCCUAUUUCUGUGUAACAGUUUUGGGCAAUCACUCUCGCUGCUGGGGUGAAUGGUUUGUUAGUACUAUAACCCAGUGAGUUGCUAGAAAUGGUCUUGAUUGGAGAGCAUUGUAAAGCAAUUAAGUUCUGACUAUUAACAAAGCUCCCACAGAGAGCAUUAAUUUUUGAAAGUAGACAAAGUCUGCGCUACGACUUUCUAGUGACUGUGUGGAAGUGUGACCAGAGUGAAAUAUGGAAACUGCUACAGUAAGUCUCAACUGUUGUAGAUAUUCCUUAUCAGUUUCCAGGAAAGGGUUUUAAAGUUCCAAUUUAGAAAAGCAUUUAAAUGUAUUCUGAAAUUUAUUUCAAUUUAAUUGGAUACAGGUUUAACAAAUUGCUAAGUUUUUGCAUAAUAAGUAGCAAUUUAAGUAUCUUCUUAUAGAGCUGGUUUGGAUUUCAUCUAAAUAUCCUUUUCUCGGAAUUGGAGCCUUAGUCAUCUGAACUGUAAUGGGAUUUUCUGGGUCUAAAAUCCAGAAAAUGCCACUUUGCUCUCAGACCCAAGUCAGUCAUCUUCAUCUAUGAGAUACCCAUAUUGUGUGCACAUGUUCCUUUCCAGAACUCCAGCCGCCUGAGCUCUUUAACUUACUGUUUGUUUCUCUCUGCAAAGGCGUAUGAUAUUUUAAGCAGGUAACUUAACAGUGGUUCAAAAUAGUGAUUUCUUGUGUUAGUCAGUGUAAGAAAAAUCAUAGAAUCAAUCAUAGAGAAAUGCCAUGCUGAAGAUGCUAAAACCCCAGAAUGGAGGUCUCCAUCUCUGAUCGUUCUCAGAGGUUGAAAUUGCAGUUCGUCAUCUUCCCAUCUUUUGUACCCAAUUUCUGGUUGCUCUGCUCUGUUUUAUGCCUUGAAAAGGACAUUUGCUUUAAUGGUCCCAUGCUGGGAUUUCAGAACGAUGGGGAAACAUUGCUACCAGUAAAAUAUGUGGAACUAUUUUCAAAACGUUGGCGUGAGCCAACAGGACCUAUCAAAGCCUUUGCAAAAGCAUAAAACCAACUUCUCAGAUUACAUUGUUUAUAAUUUCUCUUGGGUUAUUUCCCAAUAACACAGAAAACGUGUGACUGUUUUUGUAUCUGAAAGGAGUUUGGCCGAUGCUGAGGUGGGAGUACAGGAUCUUUACCAAACAAGGCUCCAUGUCGUGAUGGGCAGUCUUUAGGACUCUGAGUAACUGAAUGCUUGUAGCACUUCACUUUCUGAAGAUAGAUGAAGCGUCUUCUGAAUUACAUGUGGUUUUUUUAUGUUUUGUUGUCUUGUUUUUCUUCUUGUAGUGUAAUUCUGAACCACAUGAUCAAGCCAGGUGUUAUUCCAUGCUACUGCUUCUGAAAAUGCAGAUGCAGCAGAUGCAGGCAUACGGGUUCAGUGAAUCAGGAACAGAUAAGUGUCAACUUUCCUCUGUGGUUGUGGUUGCAAAGACCCUUGUGCUGAACGAUUAUUCUCUAGUGUUUAGAAAGGAACAGUUUGAUUAUAGCAGUACUUUGUUUAAAAAAAAUUCUUGAAAACUACACUGAAAGUGGAUAUUUUCUGCUAUUACUUAAAACUCAGUGUUGGUUGCAAAGCCAAAGAAAACAGGUCCCCAUGUUCAAUAGCCAUACCUAAUACACUGUUGUGUUAGAUACCACAAUCCUAAUUCCAUAAGAUGGUGUUCUUGGAAACAGCAGAAAAUCAGCAUGGAAUAGAAAAAAUUUCCUCCAUUGUAAAACCAGUCGUUUGCAUUUUUAACGUGCCACCUUUCUAGUUUUUCUUCUUCUAUUGGGAAGAAGUUCAUAACAAGUUCACUCAUUUUAAUCUAAGGAAAAUGAACAGACCUCCCAGAGUUGAAAACCCGCUGUACAAACAGCAAAAUUAUUCUGACUUCCAGGAGUAAUUUAAUUAGAAGGAUUCUUCAGAGUGGCUUUUUUUUUUUUUUUUUUUUCAUUAGAAAAUGUGGUGUUUUUCACGCCGUACAGCACAAAACCUUUCGCAUUUUUGUAAAGUGUAAUAAAAUAAUCACUGGGAAUUUCUGGAUCUUUCUCUAUAGGAGUUGCUACCCAUUUUUCUUUUUAAGCUAAUUUAAGGGACAGAGUAGCUCAAUAAUUUGUUUUUCUGCUUAAAAAGGUGACUUUGAAGAAGAGUGACAUGAUAAACCUUCCACAGUGAUUAUGGAAAAUAUUGUUUCUGCUAUUUAUGAAAUACACUGUGAUGCUCUUUUGAUUAAAAAUGAAGAUGAAAAUCUUUCAAAGCCUUUGAGACAAAAUUAUUUCAGCAAACAAAGAAUGAGAAGAGUAUCUGGUAGUGGUGUGGACUUCUGCAUGGUCUUGAAUAUGUGCUGCUCUAUGGAAGAACCAUUUCCAGAAGUGGCAUUUGUCCCCACAGACUUUUUAUGUCCAGGUGUUUCACUUAUCUGUAGUUCCACUUAUGUUUUCUUUUCUUUUCUUUCAACUAAUGUCCAGGACAAGUUAAAGUGAAUCCUACAUUCACUGGCUGACUAGGUGCUAAUUGCUAACAUCAGUUCUGAACCUGAGACAGAUAUUAGCUCCAUGUGCAAUUAGCACACUGAUGUACAGAGGAACUGAGAUCCCAAGAUGAAAACCAGAAGAAUGAGGUGCUGUACUGUCAUUUUGGAAGACAGUACCCCGGUUUCACUACUUGUAGUUACAGAACAUCAUUAGCUUUUGAAAAUGAACAGGAAAAUCUGCUAUUAGUGUUCCUUCCUGCUGUUAUGCAGCAUGAGGGGUUCUCAGUGUCUAUGCUUGUACUUUGUUGCUCUUGUUGAAACAUCCCUUUCUUGAAGAGAUCAUUUAGGACUGGGAAGACCAGAGACUCUGGGAAUGAUAUUCUAACAGAGUUAGAAAAUGCCAGAAUGUUACUGACCUCAAUGUGGAUUACAUUUCUGAAGUAGUUUGGGACAUUCUCUUGCCACCUGUAGUUGUAUAGUUUGUAUUUCAGAAUUAGGGAGGUUAACAGUAAAGGAGCGAUACAAUUCAUCUAAAGAGUGAUGUAGAGAAUUGUAAGGAAAUUACAACUUUUGUUGAGUUCUUUACCGACAUUUAUUGACUUCAUUUCUGCUUAACGCUACAGCUGACACCAAGCCCAGCCCUUUGUUUGCAGGACAGUAGAUUUAAGUGCUCACUAAAACAAGAAGUCUGUGGAAUAAUUAAAUAAUGAGUAUUUUUAACAAGUGUCCUUUGAAAACAUCUCAAGGUAAUGUUGAAAGAAAAUAAAACAAAAAAGCAAACAAUAGGAAGAACUGAAAAUCAUUUGCAUAGAAAUGAUCACAUUCCAUCAUGAUGUCCUAAUUUGUGCCUAUGUUUUAGGAUGUUUAUGGUGAUUCCAGGGCUGAUUACCAUAUUAAUGUCAUGAAAAUAAUAAAAAUGUACUGAUUUAGUGCAUUACUCCCUUAAACCAGUCAUAAGAAAAGAUUUACCUUAGUUAUUCUGUGGUAAAAGUUAUAUUACUCAUUUUCUUCAUCUUCAGUGCAUGUGGUAACACAGAAAUAUCACUUUGCAAAGUGCUUUAUAUCAAGGAAAUUCCAGACCACAACAAAGGAGUGCAUGUUAAAAUCAUGAGAAAUGUAGUUUGAGGUGAUUCAUGAAAGAAAUAAUCAGUGUUUAUGAAUGCUAAAAUGUGUUACUCAACUAUGCGCCAGUAAAUUAUGCCUAUGCGUAAAAAGGGAGCAGGCUUAACACUGUGACUAGGAAAGCUUUACUGUAGUCAGAUUUGCUACUAUUGGACUGAAAAAAAAAAAUAGUAAGGGAAAGAGAAGUUAAAUAAUAAACUUAAUUUUGCUUUGGAAUCAACUACUUCUCAGUAAGAUGGUGAAACUGAAAAUGGCUUUAGGAGCACAGAUGUGAGAGAUGAUAGGGACCAGUCAGAGGUCUAGAAAGCACGGGCUCUGAAGAAAGACUUUAUGAACUGGGAUUCUUUUAGAUUAAAAAAAGAGAAGGCAAGGGCUAGGUGACUUCACUUUCAGUUUUAUAUUUUUAUGGUAAUAAAAGGAAUUGAAAGAGAGUCACUGCACCCAAAGUCAAAAGCCUUUCAGACAAUGAAAAUUAUUCCUUUGUAAAAGUUGAACCAUCACCCAUCCUACAGACUUAUGUAAAGAAACAAGGAGACAUCAGUGUCCUUUCACUGCCAGAACGGGCAGGGAAGCAUCUCACAUGGGUUGGCAGGACUUUGUUUAUAUGCAGGAAAGGGGAGUGCUGACUCUCUUGGAAGAAUCUGCCAUUGUAUUAUUUUAUUUAUAAAUAUUUAGCUAAUAGAUCAGCUGUUUGGCAAUACUGGAUAUAUACCAUUGGAAAUGGUAUUAAGCAAGCAAAUAAAUAACUGGUUUUAAACUGUGGGUGGUAAACGCGUUUACAAAAACCUUCACAAGGAGCACCUGGCAACCUCAGCAGGUCCUGUCAGUGUAACUUGCUCGUGAAACACCCAAUCAAUCAUGCACAUGAGCUACAUGCCAUAUGGUCAUAUGCUUUUCACUAGGAUGAUAAAUGAUAUUCUAGGUUAUGAAAGCCAUCUUUAUAAAAUGGAAACAACUCCUGCAAACAAUCAAACUGAUGGAGGAAAAUGAAGUGAUACAAACUAACUGGAAAAUUCACUGAUCUCCAAAGAGUUCACAAUAAUUUACACAAGUUGUUCUUAUACUUUGUUUACAGUUGUACAGAGAGAGACCUUUUCUUCUCAGGGGCCAGAAGGGGUAUUGCAUACACGAUGUGAGAAUGGACAGGCAGAGAAGAGAGAAGAUGGAUGGAAGAGUGGAUGCAUUACAAAGGCUGUUCAAGGUUUGGAAAGUAAAGGAAAGUAAAGAGAAUCAUUUACUUUGAUAUCCAGCAUAAGCUGAAAUGAAUAACGUUCAUUUCUUGAGGAAAAUAUGGUGCAUUUGAAAACCAGUGUUCAAAUGAGCAAUAAUCCAGUCUGGCUUCCUUUGUGUUAUCCAAAGCAGCAGCGUCUUCAGCUUGAGAUAAGGACCUAUCCCCUUGCUAUCCAGCAGUACAUAAUCAGCUCUUAUGACUAAAAUAUGUGAAAACGGAGAAGGAUUCUCUGGUCUGAUUCUUGAACCCAAAAGGCUGAUCAGGAAAGACACAAGCAAGAGGUCACAACAUUGAGAACUACUCUGGAGUGAACCAGCGCUGAACUACACUGUGCUUUAAUGACUUUUAAGGUUUCCAGGUCAACAUGGAAGAUAAAGAGAAGACAGGUCAAAUUCUGAAAAUCGUGGAAGAAAAGUAGUUAAGCUGACAAAAAUGAGAAAGGAUGUGAACACAUAAGGUCAGAAUGAAAACCUAAGUUAAAACUUAAUAACUUGUCUUGCGUCAUAGUAGCUCUUCGGUCAAUAAAUUAUCCAGACAAAGUUUAUUACAAAUUAUUCUUUUCAGUGCAAUUAGACAUUUGAAAUAUUUGAACAGAUGGGAAGAGUUUCAGCUCAAAUGAUGAUUCUUCUCACUUUGCUUUCCGGGAAAUGAUAAAACAUUCUUCCCAUAGCCUGGAAAAAAAGAGGGAUUGAGAGAACACACAGAAGCAUAAAAUACAGUGAACUGAAUUAUGCAGCCAUGUAAUAAAAAAAUGUUGUGAAACAAGAAUACUCUGCUUCCACAGUGUUUCAGUGGCAUUCUUUGAACCUUUCUAUUCUUAGACAUUCUUGUAGCCUGAAGAUAUUCGUCAUCGUGGCAUAACUAAAUGAUUUGUUUUUAUUGGUACAAUCAAUCCACAUUAUUACCUUUGACUACAUGGUUCUCUAUCUUGAUUCUGACAUACGGCUAAUAACUUUUAUGAUGAAAUCACAGAAGUGCUCCAUGGGAUGUAAUUGAAAAUUGUGCUCUGUAGUUUUGUUUUGAACUUCUUUUAAUGUUUAGUAUAGCCAUGUGCAACCUUGAUGGAAGUAAACUGUGAUACAUGGAAUUAAUUUUAACAGGAUAGAUGUAUGCCUCAUCUUGUAAUGAUGGUAAGCAGUUGCAGUUACCACAGCUGGAAGGGGCACCUCUGACACUGAAGCUCCACUGCCAUUCUCUGAUUUGAGCUUUUGAAAUCACACUUUUGGAAAACAUAGAGAAGUAAAGCAUUAAUACAAAUGAAUUUGGAGAGUAAAAAGAGUCAAAUCCAAGGAACAAGCCAUUGUGAUGUGGCGAAAUCCUUGUGGAAAACAGCGGUCUGCUGAUAUGUACCACUAUAGAAGUUAUUACUAUUUCCAGCACAGAUCUGUCCCAUUUGAACUGAAUGCAAAUAUUAUCAUGCCACUUGUGACUCAUUCUGUGCUUCAGCAUUUUUAAAUGUUAUUCUGCUUUUCUUGUGCUAUUUCGUUAUACUUACCAUCAUAUAUGUGCCCUUUUUUUCCUGCUUUUUAUGAUUUUCUUUUAGAUUUUCAGAUUGUUAAGCUGUUCUUGAUGCAAUCAUGUUAAUUUUUGAUGUACUUCUAAUCUUUCCUCCAUGUUAGGAUAAUUUGCUGUUGUGCCUUUAUCUUGUGUGUUUCUUUUUCCUUAUCUCUUCUCAGAUACUUGCGUUUCCCUGAGCCAUUUGAAGUCCAUUACCCUUAUUUUGUUAUUUGCAAUUUAAAGGAAGAGUGGAAGACUUAUCAUUUUUAUGAUCUCUUUCACUUGAAUUAACUUCCACUUUAAGAUUCUCAACCAUUUCCUUCAAAAGAAUUUGAAUUAAAUCUAAAAUAGCUACUUUCUGUGUAAUUUCCUCCACUUCAUGAAAGAAAAAACAGUCCCUGACACAUUCAGAGAAUUGAAUAGACAAUCUGUGUCCUGCUUUCUCAGCAGCUCCCGGUUAUACUACCAUCUCACCACUAGGUCCUGCCAUUUAGGUAUUUCUAGUUUCUGUCCCUUGGAUGUUUCCAAUAGUCGCUAUAUUGAAAAUCUUUGGCUUAAACCCAUCUUUAAGAGCAUUUAUUUCUUUUUCUCUCACAUAAUUUAACUGUUGUUCAGCAAAUCUUUCUGACACUUUUUUCCUUUUCAAGCCACAGCACGUGACUUCUCCUAUGCUUGUUCUUCUAGAUCGUGCUAUGCUAUUCUCUAACAGUGUUCAAGUAUUGCUGUUUUGCCACAUAGCUGUACCACUGUUUGGACCAUGCUGGUGUACCAAUACCAUAAUAUCUAGCUACUUAGAUCUCAUCCUGCAGUGUAUGUUGUCCUGUUUUUCAAACGCUUGAUGUACUACUUCAUGUUCUCCCUUUCUUCUUGAUAUGCUUGCCCACGUUCUGUGCAGCCAGACAUCACCUCUGGCAUGGUCUGUCACUGUUUCAAGCUGCAGAUAUGGAAUGUAUUACUUUAUAUCUUCAGGAAAAUUAAUGUCUUAAGC